AAACACCCUAAUCAUAACUAAGAACCCAGAUCGAAGAACCUCAUACUCCGUCCAUUCCCCAUCUCUCUUCGACAGAUGAAGAAAUCCUCAUUCCACAUCUGAGUCUUUGUUUCAAACCUAAAUCGCGAAAUCAUCCAAACCUCAUUGCAAAUUUCAUGGGUCUCAAUCAGUAGCUCUUUAUCUAUGCUGUACUGGCCUGGGUUAACUGGAAAGCAUUUGCCAAUCUGAAUUGACAGUCAUUGAAUUCCGAAGAGUUGAAAAAUCAGUGACAUUAUGAAUUAAACAAGUCUGGAAGUGGUGGAAACAAGUUGUGGUGUUUGAAUUGGCUUUGACUUAAAUCAAUUUUU